rnacentral:rRNA from 1 species
GACGAACGCUGGCGGCGUGCCUAAUACAUGCAAGUAGAACGCUGAAGGAGGAGCUUGCUUCUCCGGAUGAGUUGCGAACGGGUGAGUAACGCGUAGGUAACCUGCCUGGUAGCGGGGGAUAACUAUUGGAAACGAUAGCUAAUACCGCAUAACAGUAGAUAUUGCAUGAUAUCUGCUUGAAAGGUGCAAUUGCAUCACUACCAGAUGGACCUGCGUUGUAUUAGCUAGUUGGUGAGGUAACGGCUCACCAAGGCGACGAUACAUAGCCGACCUGAGAGGGUGAUCGGCCACACUGGGACUGAGACACGGCCCAGACUCCUACGGGAGGCAGCAGUAGGGAAUCUUCGGCAAUGGACGGAAGUCUGACCGAGCAACGCCGCGUGAGUGAAGAAGGUUUUCGGAUCGUAAAGCUCUGUUGUAAGAGAAGAACGAGUGUGAGAGUGGAAAGUUCACACUGUGACGGUAUCUUACCAGGAAGGGACGGCUAACUACGUG